rnacentral:rRNA from 1 species
AACGAACGCUGGCGGCAGGCUUAACACAUGCAAGUCGAACGGGCACCUUCGGGUGUCAGUGGCAGACGGGUGAGUAACGCGUGGGAACGUACCUUUCGGUUCGGAAUAACCCAGGGAAACUUGGGCUAAUACCGGAUACGCCGGUAACGGGAAGAUUUAUCGCCGAAAGAUCGGCCCGCGUCGGAUUAGCUAGUUGGUGGGGAACGGCCGUACCAACGGCGACGAUCCGUAGCUGGUCUGAGAGGAUGAUCAGCCACACUGGGACUGAGACACGGCCCAGACUCCUAC